UUUUUUAAAAAUGAAAGUCUAUUUUGUAUUCCUGUUGCUGGUAGCGGCGGUUGCAGGCCAAAAUGAAGACUGUCCAGAAAACAAAACCUACGGAUCUUUCGGUGACUGCCCCGAUUCUUGUUAUUCCCUCAACCACCCACGUCAGAUGUGCACAAUGAAGAUCAACGAAGGCUGUCGUUGUAUGGAAGACUACGUCCUGUUGAGAAAUAAGGAGUUUACUUCAGACUGCGUUAAACCAGAAGACUGCCCGGCUGAAUCUUAAGGAAGUGGUGAUCUAUGUCUUUCUGGAGACAAGAUUAUUUAGGAUGUCAGCAGCUUGCAGUUUUUAGAACUCUGUGGUGACUAGUCCCUGUGUUUAUAAAUAAAUUUUUGCAAUUAU